rnacentral:rRNA from 1 species
GAGUUUGAUCCUGGCUCAGAGUGAACGCUGGCGGCGUGCCUAAUACAUGCAAGUCGAACGAUGAAGCUUCUAGCUUGCUAGAGUGCUGAUUAGUGGCGCACGGGUGAGUAACGCAUAGGUCAUGUGCCUCUUAGUUUGGGAUAGCCAUUGGAAACGAUGAUUAAUACCAGAUACUCCCUACGGGGGAAAGAUUUAUCGCUAAGAGAUCAGCCUAUGUCCUAUCAGCUUGUUGGUAAGGUAAUGGCUUACCAAGGCUAUGACGGGUAUCCGGCCUGAGAGGGUGAACGGACACACUGGAACUGAGACACGGUCCAGACUCCUACGGGAGGCAGCAGUAGGGAAUAUUGCUCAAUGGGGGAAACCCUGAAGCAGCAACGCCGCGUGGAGGAUGAAAGUUUUAGGAUUGUAAACUCCUUUUGUUAGAGAAGAUAAUGACGGUAUCUAACGAAUAAGCACCGGCUAACUCCGUGCCAGCAGCCGCGGUAAUACGGAGGGUGCAAGCGUUACUCGGAAUCACUGGGCGUAAAGAGCGCGUAGCGGGAUAGUCAGUCAGGUGUGAAAUCCUAUGGCUUAACCAUAGAACUGCAUUUGAAACUACUAUUCUAGAGUGUGGGAGAGGUAGGUGGAAUUCUUGGUGUAGGGGUAAAAUCCGUAGAGAUCAAGAGGAAUACUCAUUGCGAAGGCGACCUGCUGGAACAUUACUGACGCUGAUUGCGCGAAAGCGUGGGGAGCAAACAGGAUUAGAUACCCUGGUAGUCCACGCCCUAAACGAUGGAUGCUAGUUGUUGGAGGGCUUAGUCUCUCCAGUAAUGCAGCUAACGCAUUAAGCAUCCCGCCUGGGGAGUACGGUCGCAAGAUUAAAACUCAAAGGAAUAGACGGGGACCCGCACAAGCGGUGGAGCAUGUGGUUUAAUUCGAAGAUACACGAAGAACCUUACCUAGGCUUGACAUUGAGAGAAUCCGCUAGAAAUAGUGGAGUGUCUGGCUUGCCAGACCUUGAAAACAGGUGCUGCACGGCUGUCGUCAGCUCGUGUCGUGAGAUGUUGGGUUAAGUCCCGCAACGAGCGCAACCCCCUUUCUUAGUUGCUAACAGGUUAUGCUGAGAACUCUAAGGAUACUGCCUCCGUAAGGAGGAGGAAGGUGGGGACGACGUCAAGUCAUCAUGGCCCUUACGCCUAGGGCUACACACGUGCUACAAUGGGGUGUACAAAGAGAAGCAAUACUGCGAAGUGGAGCCAAUCUUCAAAACACCUCUCAGUUCGGAUUGUAGGCUGCAACUCGCCUGCAUGAAGCUGGAAUCGCUAGUAAUCGCAAAUCAGCCAUGUUGCGGUGAAUACGUUCCCGGGUCUUGUACUCACCGCCCGUCACACCAUGGGAGUUGUGUUUGCCUUAAGUCAGGAUGCUAAAUUGGCUACUGCCCACGGCACACACAGCGACUGGGGUGAAGUCGUAACAAGGUAACCGUAGGUGAACCUGCGGUUGGAUCACC